GAGCCACAGUUGGAAGAAAGAAUGUUUUGCAGCUGAUUCCAAUUCCUUGCAAACCCUCAAAGGAUGAGUCUUGCCAACACUUGGAAGCCAUGAAAGUUCUCAAUUAGAGGAUCUAGAAUUACAGAAACAUUCGUUUCAAUUCCCUUUACCGCUUUCAGGGAAUUCCAUGUAUGUACAACAUAAGGUAGCAAAUCUAGAAUGUUAAUUGCCG
rnacentral:misc_RNA from 1 species